GCCAAUGUGGCGGAGUGGCUACGCGGCUGACUGCAGAUCAGCUACAACCCGGUUCGAAUCCGGGCAUUGGCUC
rnacentral:tRNA from 1 species